UACGAAGGGUGCAAGCGUUAAUCGGACUUACUGGGCGUAAAGCGCGCGUAGGUGGUUCAGUAAGUUGGAAGUGAAAUCCCCGGGCUCAACCUGGGAACUGCUUUCAAAACUGCUGAGCUAGAGUACGGUAGAGGGUGGUGGAAUUUCCUGUGUAGCGGUGAAAUGCGUAGAUAUAGGAAGGAACACCAGUGGCGAAGGCGACCACCUGGACUGAUACUGACACUGAGGUGCGAAAGCGUGGGGAGCAAACAGG
rnacentral:rRNA from 1 species